rnacentral:lncRNA from 1 species
GGAAGCUUUAAAAACUUAUAUUUUCCUGAAUUCGAAACUUAGAACUUUAAAAGUAUGGCUUUGUAAAAUUUUCUGGAAGAGGAAAUCCUUAAAAUUUAUGAUGUGAUGAAAUGGACGUAUUUAUGGAUAGAUGGGAAAGAAGCGAGUGUGCUCGUUUAAUCGUAUUCACCAGAGCUCAGUGUCGCAUAUAUAGAUCAAACUAUUCGAUGUAAGUGUCAAACCGAAAGAUUUAAAUAAAUGAAAAUACAAUUCAUGUAAUAGUCUUUUUUUUCAAUUCAGUUCAAAAGCUCAAAAAGCUCGAUCGCAUGAGACAAUCGUUAGGCUUGACGAAGCGAAUAUUUCUGUCCUUGUGCGGAUAUGGACUUCACUUUGGUUCAUUUGAUCAAACUUUUUUUGGGGAUGUAUCCCACGCAAAAAAUGUUUUUAUCCUAUACUUUAUUUUACAAAAAUUGCACAACUCUGAUUCAAAUUCAACUAAAAAUUGUUUUAUUUUGUACAAGAGUCUUUUAAGGGCUAUAGGUCCAGAUCGUAGUGUCAAACAUACCUUCAAUAUUUUCUACGAUGCAUAUAAUAUAAGUGAGGAAUAGGUGAUAUAAAAUAAAGAGAAAAGUAUAUAAAGUAUACAAGUUCCACAGUAAAUGUGAAUAUUUAUGCACACCGAAAAAAAGUGAAGUUGAUUUAACAUUCUGGAUGUAAAAAAAGUGUGCGAGAACUUGAAAAAAAGCUGAAUUACCCGCUGCAGCAGUUACUUUAACAACGCCAAAAUGUAAAACUAUAACUAAUGCUGUGCCGGGUGAUAUACCAUUUUUUAAGUUCUCGCACACUUCUUUUACAUCCAGAAUGUUAAAUCAACUUCACUUCAACCUACAGCUUAUCCUCCUCUAUGAAAACGGUUGAUUUCAAACAAUGAUUAUAAAAACCCCGCUGAAGCAGGGCUCGUCCCACUUUCACUCAAUUAAAGUCCUCUGAUCACUGAUCCGUGUAAUUUUUCAGAAGGAAAUUGCCAGCCACAAAUCACCGGCGAAAAUAAGCGACGUCAAUUUCCCACUAGAGUUUUCGAGGGAAAAUGCGUGGCGAUGCCAGCGCCAAUUUAUCUUGGAUCGUGAUUAUUUUUCGUCUCGCGUGGGCGGGGGAGGCGCUGCCUGGUGUAACGAUGAAGAGAUUUUAUUAAUUCUAUAUAUUUCUCAAAAAGUAAUACCUGUACAUAGAGCGUACAUUUUAUGAUUUAUAAAUUUAUAAAUAAAUGGAUUAAGGCUAGGCGCAAUAAAUUUCAGGGCGGACGAACUGAGGUAAGGAGCGCGCACCGGGCAACGGGGUUCCAGCAUGAGAAAUUAACACAAAAAGAAUUAGUACAGUACUCGGUGUGUUUUUAAUGAAACACAUAAAUUAUAUUAAUGUAAUUAACAAGAUACAUCACACUGCGUUCCUUGUAUUCUUUCCUCUCUCCUCCGUCCUUCCUCCGCCUUCUCGCUCGCUCUCCGCCUCCUCCUUCUCCGGGGACAUUUCAGUUUUGUUUUAGCGCGCCGAGGCCGCCCAUCCCUUCGUCCCCUCCCCUCGGCCCUGUGCCCCCGUGUUUACUUACUUACGCCUGUUUCUUGCCACAUUUAUGACUCCUCAUUUUUAAUCCACCCCCCGAGACAUUGUGAUGAUUUAGACCGCGUCGUGGGAAGAUGAAGUCGAGCGGAAGACAACCAAUCAGAAUCCAGCUGGAGCGACUCCCACUCGGUGAUUGGUCACCUGACGACUAGAGCGGCUGCGGUUUUGAAAUUACAGUUAUCUUGAGUUGCAGAGCAUACUAGUCACCAAGAAUUUACAUAUAGGUGGCUAAGGAACGGUACCGCCUUCUGCAAAAGAGACUAUUUGCAAGAUGAAGAAAAAAUUGAAAACUAAAAAAAAACUUUUCUAUGUGGACUAGGGUAUAUUAGCAUGCGCUCUCCCGUGGAAACAGGUCACAUUUGGAGAGUGAAAAUUCAAAACCUAUAGUAAGUGCCAUCAUGCACGCAGAAGUGGCCACAAAUUGUGCUACUGCUUCUGUCGUUAAAUUAGAAUCCAGAGGCUUGAGAAUGUCGAAUCUUCAUAAAAAAAGACCGAAGUUGAGAGACAAUUUUUGCUUGGAAGAAUCCACGAAGAAAUGGCACUAAGGUUCUUAGACAGCGACGAACACUACACACAAUUGUAGCCACUCCCACGCCUGAUGGAUCUUAUCAAAUUUGGAAUUUAUUUUUUUCAUCUGUCCCCGCCAAUAUGUCGAAAAGUACAAAAUCACUUAUCUCCCUUUGAGACGUUGCAGACUUAAUGUCAUACUUUACCUUCCUUUGUAAAACUAACAAACGUGAAUUUUUAAAAACUUCCUUAGAUUUUGAACUAUCUGUUAGCAGCGUAUACUGUGUAAAUAUCAAGCUAUGAAGUUGGUGGCAAGUCAUUUUUUCUAAAACAUUAUUCCCUACCUUCAGUUUUCCUAAUACUUAUCUCCUCAUCGUUUUUGUUCCAUUGCAGUUAGUCCUGCGAAUGAAAUGUACUACUGGCUUUUUUUUGGCACUUUACAAAAAAAAAUUGAAAUUGAAAAGAGCCAGUGUGACAUUUCAUUCGUAGGACUUACUAUAAUGGGACAAAAAACGAGUAGGAAAGAAGUAUUAGGAAACCGAGUGGUAGGAAAAUUCGUUUUAAGGAAAACAACCUAGCACCAUAAAGUUGGCUUGUUUUUCAUCGAAAAUAGCUGAAAGGAGCGGAAAUUUUGAAACACGGAAAUGGCGAUACGUAGCUCUACACUUUACCUACCGAUAAGAU